rnacentral:rRNA from 1 species
UAUAAAUAUACUUUCCCGUUUGUGUCUGUUUUUGAUUGUACAAAUCGACAGCGAUGAUGACAGCUCUGAAUUUUAAUAUAAGCCAAACUGGAUUGGAUCCGUUUCGAAUCAGACAGACAGACAUUUAUUUCGUCGACCGUGUGAUAUUGCUUUUUAUGUGUGUGUGUGUGUGUGCUGAGAUCAGUUCGUAGGCUCCCUUGAUUGGGGCUUCAGAGCGGGUGCAGGACCCAUAACGAACGGUCUUUUGUGCAUGGUGUCGCGGCGCUUUGUCGAGUCGGGUUGCUUGAGACUGCAGCCCAAAGCGGGUGGUAAAUCUCACCCAAGACUAAAUAUUCGUACGAGACCGAUAGCGAACAAGUACCGCGAGGGAAAGUUGAAAAGAACUCUGAAGAGAGAGUUCAACAGGACGUGAAACCGUUGACAGGCAAACGGAUGGAGCUGACGGUGCAAUUUUGACCAAAAUCAGUCGUCGCUGUGUUCGUUGGCGAAUGAAUCUUUUGCAAACUUGUUUGUGUAGAUUAUCUUUCGUUUCGAAUGUACGCACGGUGCACUUUUGGUCGAUUAGCGUCACGAGCAACGUUCGCAUUUUUUGCUGCCGACAGUAAUUGUGUUUGUUGUUUUAAAAGCAACAAACAAUAAAGGCGGUUUGUGGAAGAGGUAAUUGUGGUAAAGACUUGUGCUUUUGUCUCAAUUGCCGUGCCAAUGCCGCAUCUGUCGGAUGAAUGUUGUUGUUGACAAGUUGAAGAGCAUUGUUCUGCGUACAAUUGUAAUGGGUCCGUUGGUGCCGUUGCGUUCGUGUGUUUCGGCAUGCGAUUGAACUGGUUGGUCGGGAAAAAAGUCAAUUAUGAAUGUAAUUGAUCUGACUGCCGUGCGUGAUGGUAUUCUCUCAUGUGUUUGAUGGACUUUAUUUGUAACCAAACGCUCGAUGUUUUUUUACAUCUGUGGCGUCAAUGUUAGCCUCCCAUCCGACCCGUCUUGAAACACGGACCAAGGAGUUCAGUAGGCACGCGAGUCGUUGACGUUGUGCAUUGAACAGUCGAAGGCGUAAUGAAAGUGUGCAAGAAAGUGAAUUGUACAUUUUUUUGUACUGUUUGCUUUCAGCAUGAUCGUCCUUUGUUUUGUUUGGGUGCUGCUUGAAUUUUUUCGGGCCACCUUUCUUAAUUUGGGGACGCGCAGUGUGGUGCCGUUGAAUAGUCGCACUGUUCUUUCUUUCUCUUCGGGGUUGGAGGAACAAUUGUCGAUCAGUCGGUUUCGGAGCGUGCACACUGGUACCCGAAAGAUGGUGAACUAUGCUUGAGCAGAAUGAAGCCAGAGGAAACUCUGGUGGAAGUUCGUAGCGGUGUUGACGUGCAAAUCACUCGUCUGACUUGAGUGUAGGGGCGAAAGACUAAUCGAACCAUCUAGUAGCUGGUUCCCUCCGAAGUUUCCCUCAGGAUAGCUGGCAUUUGUGUGUAACAAUUUUAUCCGGUAGAGCGAAUGAUUAGAGGUGUUGGGAACGCAAUGUUCUCAGCCUAUUCUCAAACUUCGAAUGGGUAAGCAAGGCGAUUUGCUUUGAUCUGUUGAUGAAAUCGCCCAACUUUUUUGUGUUGAAGAAUGUAUAAAUGCCUAGUGGGCCAAUUUUGGUAAGCAGAACUGGCGAUGUGGAAUGAACCAAAAGUCAGGUUAAGGUGCCAGACAUUGGCGCUCAUGAAAUACCAGAAAAGGUGUUGGUCGAUAUAGACAGCAGGACGGUGGCCAUGGAAGUUGGAAUCCGCCAAGGAGUGUGUAACAACUCACCUGCCGAAUCGACUAGCCCUGAAAAUGGAUAGCGUUUGAGCGCCAGGCCCAUACCUGACCGUCUCAGUUACGCACUUUUGUUGUUUCAAUGAUGAAGGUGUAAUGAACGUUGAGACGGGUAGGAAGGUCGCGACAGUGUUGCUUUGAAGAGUUUUGAGCGUGAGCUCGCUCGGAGCCGCUGUUGGUGCAGAUCUUGGUGGUAGUAGCAAAUAUUCAAGUGAGAACCUUGAAGGCUGAAGUGGAGCAAGGUUCCAUGUGAACAGCAGUUGGACAUGGGUCAGUCGAUCCUAAGAAAACGGCGAAAGCUUGUUCGAAUUUACGACAUAAAAAAUGUAAAACUGUGUGUGUGUAGUGUGCUUGUGUGUGUACUAUACUGAUAUAGCAGUAGUGGUGGUGGUGGUUUGUCAGUCAGCAGUAGUGUUUGUCUGUGGCAGUGCUGCUGCUGCUGCUGCUGCUGCUGCUAUUGUUUACUUGCUGUUGUUGUGUGUUGUUGUACACACACACCCACACAAUUCUGUGUGCAGUUGUCGUAUGUUUUCGAAAGGGAAUCCGGUUGAUAUUCCGGAACCGAGUAACGGAGACAAAGAGUAGCGCUUUAAUCUUCCGGUUGGCGUUCAACUCAAUCGCGCGGUAACGCAAGCGAACUCGGAAAAUGACCGUCGUGAGUUUCGAAAAGAGUUUUCUUUUCUUUUUAAGGGACGCAUUCCCUGGAACCGGGUUGUCCGGAGAUAGGGAUUCUGGUAUCCAUAAAACGCCGACUCUUUCACGGUGUUCGGAGCGCUCUCGUCGGUACGUGAAAAUCCGAGCGACGCCUGGUAAAUCUCGUACUUGGUCGUACUGAUAUCCGCAGCAGGUCUCCAAGGUGAAUAGCCUCUGGCCGAUAGAAUAAUGUAGGUAAGGGAAGUCGGCAAAACGGAUCCGUAACUUCGGAACAAGGAUUGGCUCUAAGGGCUGGGCCGAUCGGGCUGAGGUUUCAAGCGUGCAGUGUAUGCUUGGCUGAGCUGUGCUGAGGAUUGAUUAGCUUGGUGCCGUUUGUUGACCCAAGCGGCUGUCCAGGUGGUCAUGUCUGAAGCAAAGCUGGCCGACAGACCGGCACGUGCAGAACCUGAGCUGCGCGGCUGUCAGUUUAUUUGUACAGACCGUUUCGGUCGGCAUUCAACAGCCAACUUAGAACUGGCACGGACACAAGGAAUCUGACUGUAUAAUUAAAACAAAGCAUUGCGAUGGCCGAUGAUCGGUGUUGACGCAAUGUGAUUUCUGCCCAGUGCUCUGAAUGUCAAAGUGAAGAAAUUCAACCAAGCGCGGGUAAACGGCGGGAGUAACUAUGACUCUCUUAAGGUAGCCAAAUGCCUCGUCAUCUAAUUAGUGACGCGUAUGAAUGGAUCAACAAGAUUCCUUCUGUCCCUAUCUACUAUCUAGCGAAACCACAGCCAAGGGAACGGGCUUGGCAAAAUCAGCGGGGAAAGAAGACCCUGUUGAGCUUGACUCUAGUCUGACUCUGUGAAGAGACAUGAAAGGUGUAGCAUAGGUGGGAGGCUGCAGCCGGGCACUGCUUGCGCGGUGUCUCUGUGGUCGCCAAUGAAAUACCACUACUUUGACAUAGCGUGUUCGAGGAAAACCUUUUGAAAAGCACGUUCAUUGCUUGACUUGUUGUUUAUUAUUAAAUUAACAUGGCUGAGGAUGUGGCUGGCAAAUUCAAAGAGGCCGGUAUUGUACCGGAUGUUUUGGACAAGGCACCGACUGAGAAAUUGGAAGUAUUGUUUCCAGGAAAGCCGGCCGUUAGCCUUGGCGAUAUAUUUCACACUCUAGAUGUACGUCAUGCUCCGAAAGUUAGCUAUCCAGGAAAAGAAGGCCAUUAUUACUCUUUGAUCAUGAUAGAUCCUGAUAAUUUGAGCCGUGAAAAUCCAUGUCAAGCAGAAUGGAUUCAGUGGAUGGUUUUAAAUAUACCGUACGAUGCAAUUUCUGCCGGAAUGAUGUCACGUCAUCUUGUUGGUUAUAUGAUACCUGGUCCUCAACCAAGAACUGGCUUGCAUCGUUUUGUGUUUUUGUUGU